rnacentral:rRNA from 1 species
GAUGAACGCUGGCGGCGUGCCUAAUACAUGCAAGUCGAGCGAACGGACGAGAAGCUUGCUGCUCUGAUGUUAGCGGCGGACGGGUGAGUAACACGUGGAUAACCUACCUAUAAGACUUGGAUAACUUCGGGAAACCGGAGCUAAUACCGGAUGAUAUUUUGAACCGCAUGGUUCAAAAGUGAAAGACGGUCUUGCUGUCACUUAUAGAUGGAUCCGCGCUGCAUUAGCUAGUUGGUAAGGUAACGGCUUACCAAGGCAACGAUGCAUAGCCGACCUGAGAGGGUGAUCGGCCACACUGGAACUGAGACAGGGUCCAGAGUCCUACGGGAGGCAGCAGUAGGGAAUCUUGCGCAAUGGGCGAAAGCCUGACGGAGGAACGCCGCGUGAGUGAUGAAGGUCUUCGGAUCGUAAAACGCUGUUAUUAGGGAAGAACAUAUGUGUAAGUACCUGUGCACAUCUUGACGGUACCUAAUCAGAAAGCCACGGCUAACUACGUG